GAUGAACGCUAGCGGCAGGCCUAACACAUGCAAGUCGAGGGGCAGCGCGGUGUAGCAAUACACUGGCGGCGACCGGCGCACGGGUGAGUAACGCGUAUGCAACCUGCCCUCUACAGGGGGAUAGCCCGCCGAAAGGCGGAUUAAUACCCCAUCGCCCCGCACCCCGGCAUCGGGGAGCGGGUAAAGGAGCGAUCCGGUAGAGGAUGGGCAUGCGUGCCAUUAGCUUGUUGGCGGGGUAACGGCCCACCAAGGCGACGAUGGCUAGGGGGUCUGAGAGGAUGGUCCCCCCACACUGGUACUGAGACACGGACCAGACUCCUACGGGAGGCAGCAGUGAGGAAUAUUGGGUCAAUGGGCGGAAGCCUGAACCAGCCAUGCCGCGUGCAGGACGACGGCCCUACGGGUUGUAAACUGCUUUUCCGGGGGAAGAAUAAGGGCGACGUGUCGCCCGAUGCCGGUACCCCGGGAAUAAGGAUCGGCUAACUACGUGCCAGCAGCCG
rnacentral:rRNA from 1 species